rnacentral:rRNA from 1 species
UACGAGAGGCCCAAACGUUAUUCGGAUUUACUGGGCUUAAAGAGUUCGUAGGCGGCGCAGAAAGUAGGGUGUGAAAUCCCUCGGCUUAACCGGGGAACUGCGUCUGAUACUGGUUGGCUUGAAUCCGGGAGAGGGAUGUGGAAUUCCAGGUGUAGCGGUGAAAUGCGUAGAUAUCUGGAGGAACACCGGUGGCGAAGGCGGCAUCCUGGACCGGUAUUGACGCUGAGGAGCGAAAGCCAGGGGAGCAAACGGG